rnacentral:rRNA from 1 species
GACGAACGCUGGCGGCGUGCUUAACACAUGCAAGUCGAACGGAAAGGCCCCUUCGGUGGUACUCGAGUGGCGAACGGGUGAGUAACACGUGAGUAACCUGCCCUUGACUUCGGGAUAACUUCAGUAAACUGGGGCUAAUACCGGAUAGGAAUCCUUGCUGCAUGGUGGGGGUUGGAAAGCUUCGGCGGUUUGGGAUGGACGCGCGGCUUAUCAGCUUGUUGGUGGGGUAGGGGCUUACCAAGGCUUUGACGGGUAGCCGGCCUGAGAGGGCGAACGGCCAAAAUGGGACUGAGAUACGGCCCAGACUCCUACGGGAGGCAGGAGGGGGGAAUAUUGCACAAUGGGCGGGAGCCUGAUGCAGCAACGCCGCGUGCGGGAAGACGGCCUUCGGGUUGUAAACCGCUUUCAGCAGGGGCGAAGCUUGUGGUGACGGUACCUGCAGAAGAAGCACCGGCUAACUACGUG